rnacentral:lncRNA from 1 species
UUGGAGGAAGCUAAAGAAAGCCUUCUCUCACUAUAUCAAAUUAUAGAUCUAUUCUGUAAAACAUCUCUCUCUCUCUCUAUCUCUGUUUUUGCCUGUGUUGAAUCUAGUGCCAUAUUUCCUCUUAGAUCUACCCAUCAACCCAUCUGAAUCCAUUUCUAUGGCACUCCAUCAACAUUCCGAACUACUUAUCAGUCACCAACCAAUGAUCUCUUUUCUGGUGAGGAGCUCCUUUUUUUUUGGUGCCUCUAUUUCAAUUGUUAGAUUCUCAUGUCCUGGUUGGUAAUCGAUAUUAGGUUGUCUUUUUUGAUUGCAAGUAGGGAAAACCACAUCGAUCAAGCAACUAUCUUCUGAUCUAGUUUUUUUUUGGGUAUUUGGUAUCUGAUGCUUUGAUUUUAUUGAAUUUUUAAUGAAAACGAUUGUUUAUUGGACUAGGCGCUUUAUAAGGUUUAACUUCUACAAGUUCAGAUCUUCAGGAUAUGGAACAGAAAGCUGCAACAGCAUAUGAUCUAGCUGCAACAAAAAACUGAAAUAUGCCAACCCCUCCUCCAAUCAUCAUCAUGUCAGUAAUAUGGAUUUAAGAACUUCAGGAAACGACGAACAAGAGAAGAGAAAGAUUUGUUACUUUCUCAAGCAGGUAAAUUUAUGUUAUAGCUACACAUUAUUUGUCAUUAAUUGACUGGACUGGGAACACUUGAUGAAAUCCCAAAAUAUGAGACAUCUCUUUGACUCAUUAUAGUUUUCAUUUGUAUUGAAAAUGUAUCUCUAGUAUUUUAUCGAUCUACACUAUAGUGUUUCGUAUAUUAUUGACUAGAGUUUCUAGGCUUGGAGAGGGAUUUGGUAAACUCUGUCAACUGUGCAGGAACUUGGAUAGUUGAUGAUAAAAUAGCCAUCAAACCUCAGAUACUUUUCUAUAAACCAUGGUACUGAAAUGCUAAUAACUACAUUACAAUUAUUGUCAUUUGCAUUUCUAGGAUAAAUUAGUUUUACCAAAACCUACAAGCUUAGCCUUAUGUUAUAAACUUGUGAUAGUUUACUGCUCUACCAUCAAAGUUCUUGUGUUUGAUGACUUUGAUCAUAUGGCUUCAAGGGAAAUUCAGUUCAUGUUGCUUAUUACUUGUUAAAUCCAAGAAAAAUGACAACAUUGAAACAAUUUAAAUUUGUGAAUUGAAGAUGAUUCAAUGCCACUGACUAAUCAACCGCAUCUCAUAUGCUUGUUAGACUAAUCAACGUAUUCAUGUUCCAAACGGUGAAUUUCUGCUAUUGCUGCAUGUCUCGAUCAAACUAUAGUAUCAGUUAAUUGGGCAGCUACAAAAGCAUAUGAUAGAACAAACCUUAAGCACGGGAGCACACAAGAAUACGUUACUCACUGAGAAGGAUAAUUUAUAUCAAGUCCAACUUAGAGUAUCCAGCUUCCAUGUUGAAUUUUGAAGAGCCUGAACUGGUGUUCAAGACAAAGAGAAGUUAAGGCAAGGUCAAUUAGUAUAUGGUAUGUAGAGAUUACAGAUCUACUUAUGUAUAAAAUUUUCAGUUCAUGUUAGAGCUGUAGUUGGAGCCUGGGAGAAGUUGAGGUCAUAAGCCAUUUGGUUUGUUGGUUAGUAUUUAGAGAAGUAUAACACUAUUGAUGUACUAAAGUUUGCAUAGGAAGAUUUAUUUAUCUAUUUAGUUGAUUUUUACAAUAUAGGAAAUUAUUGU